GGGAGCGAAAUUAAGCGAAAGGAGACUAACGGAUCGGGGUGACCCAAAAACGUAUAUGUUUUUGAUAGAGGGGGAAAGACCGUGCCAGGUAGCGCAAUCACUUGUCUUUUAAAUAGAGACCUGUAUGAAUGGCUAAACGAGGGCUUAACUGUCUCCCCUUUCCAGUCAGUGAAAUUGAUCUGCCCGUGCAGAAGCGGACAUAAAAAUACAAGACGAGAAGACCCUUUGGAGCUUAAGGUACAAAACUCAACCACGUCAAGCAACUCAAUAAAAAGCAAAAACUUUGUGGAAUAUGAGAUUUUACCUUCGGUUGGGGCGACCACGGAGGAAAACAAAGCCUCCAAGUGGAUUGGGAAAACCUCCUAAAACCAAGAGAGACAUCUCUAAGCCACAGAACAUCUGACCAAACAUGAUCCGGCUACCCGAAGCCGAUCAACGAACCAAGUUACCCUAGGGAUAACAGCGCAAUCCUCUCCCAGAGUCCAUAUCGACGAGAGGGUUUACGACCUCGAUGUUGGAUCAGACAUCCUAAUGGUGCAGCCGCUAUUAAGGGUUCGUUUGUUCAACGAUUAAGUCCUACGUGAUCUGAGUUCAGAACCAGGAUGUCCGCCUGUUUUUUCAAAAACAUAAUACCUCGUCUUUGAGUUCACAACCGUGUC
rnacentral:rRNA from 1 species